ACUGCACUCCUCUCCCUUUCCCUGUCCCUGAGGUCCAGCUCAGUGGCAUGGACGCUGUUCCCUGUGGCUGAGAUCCUCUGGCUGUAAGGCCCAGCUUCUCCUGGCAGAGACUUGGGAAAAGAGAGCGCUGAGCAUGCUUCUGUCUCCUCCCUCAGUGUUUCUGCCCCAGUGAGAAGGUUGAGUAGUGCUUUGCCAGCAUGCUUUCGGGGCAAUUUUGACGCAGACGUCGUGCGCCAGCAGUGAGAAAUUUCUGUGCAUUUUACUUUCUGGACAUCAACAGGGCGCAUGCGGAAACACGAGGGGGUUUGUGCCUGCAGGCCGGGAUGCUUCAGGGCUCCCUGGUCCAUCACCAUUUGUUCUGGAGCUGCUCCGGUCAGUGAAUGACUUUCUGUGGUUUGGAGCUGAGCCUGAGGGGCUGUGUUCAGCCUCUGUCAUCUGUCACUGUCCUGCUGAGACUGGUUGCCAAGCUGGGGCUCAGAGGUUCCAGGGAAUCUCACUUCCUGCCAAGGCAGCCAACAGACACCGCCCAGGUAACACUACCCACACAAGAACGAGUGGGUAGACUUCAAGACCCACCGAAGGGUCAUGGGCCUCGUCACCAUCACUGACCGCUUGGCCAAGGACUGGCUGCAGAUAGAGGAGCUCCCUGUGCAGAGGAGAUGUGUGGCAACACGCAGGACGAUUCAUGGCUCUUCGUCUUUGUGCUGAAGGGCGAGCUCGCUGAGCAGCUGCGCACUGAUGUGGCCUUGUACCCCAGCUAAGAGGACUGUGGGGUGGUGGAGAAGAGGAUCAAGGACUUCAUCAAGUCUCUCUUCAUCAUGCUAGAGUCCGAGCACCUGGACAGGGCCACCAACAAUUUUGGGGACAACAUCCCCCUCCUCUGCAUCCCAUUUGAGAAUAAGGACUUGGUGGGACUGGACACAGCAGGUGCCCUCACCUCCAGCGACAUUAAUCCAGACACCAGCACUGACACUGGCUGUGCUCAGAACUGCCCCAGCCUUGAAGACACAAGUGACAAAUAGAAGGGGGCCACGCCCUGUUCCAGCAAGUGCUCUCAAUUUUUGGGUCCUUAUGUAACUGCGUGGUGUUAUUCAGGAUCACCCGUUCUACAUUGUGUGACGCUGCUGCCAUGUAUCCUAGUUACUUGUUUCUGAGAAUUACGGCCUGCUGCUUGAGUGUUUGAUCAGGAUAAAUGAUUUGUUUCUAUAAGAUGCCAUGUACAGUCACAAGCUCAGUGAGAAAUGGGCUGUCACCUCUUCAUCUGCAACUCAGUGCUCGACAGGACAUCGGGGCAAAGCCAGUCCGUAAUUUGUUUGUGAUGCAACUGUCCACGUGGGUCAAAUCAUGGUGCCCCUCUAAAACCUCCAAAAAAAAAACAAAGUUGAUUCUCUAUUUUGCAACUUGCCAUCUCUACAUAAGUGCAGAAGAGUUAACAUCGUGAAAGAUCAGAGCCCGGAGAAUAGGCUCUCCUGGAUAUUUCAGGCUAAAGGCAACUUUCUUUUACAAAAGGAUCUGAGGAGCAGGAGCAAGGAACGCAGGGAGAGAUCCAGGAAGACAUCUGACUGUGUUUAGAGACGACAGUCACAGCCACACGGGGAGCGAGGACACUUGCAGCAAAGUAAAACGGCUUCACAACUAUUGCAUCAGAGCUGCCGGUGUGAGAGAGCCUAAGCCUGUCUCAGAGUGCAGGGGACAAGCGGAAAGGAAUGUGUAAGAAUGCUGGUGACUGAGUUAGAAGCAUGCUUCGAAGCUGUCUGUGUCCUUGCCAUCCAGAAGCGGAGCCUGGGAACUUCCGAAUUUCUCCAGAAUGCGGUUUACAUUCAUCUUCGACAGGGCCUGCAACAUGAGCAUCCCUGACUACGUUCAGAGUGCUGAGGACUACAAGACUUCCACAUGGUGGUCCAAGCCGUUGGGAUCAUCUCAGAGGAGAAUUUCUUUUGCAUUUAUAAGCAAAUCUCCUUGGUGAGCUGGAUCAUCCCCUGCGGCUCCCAGUGGGCACUCUGUAUCUACUACAGGCACCACUAUGCGCCCGAGAAUGGGUGGAGCGAACUCCAGAACAACCACAAGGUCGUGUGCCUUGUCACCAUUGCGGAGUGCCUCUUGGCCAAGGCCUUCGAUAAGCUCCACGUGCAGAGGAGCUGUAUGGCACCACCAUGCUUAAUGACUCUCAGCUCUUUCUCUUUGUGCUGCAUGGGGAGGUAGCCGAGCAGACACGCACCGACGUGGCGUUCAAUCUACAAGGACUGCAGUGUGGUGAAGAGGAUCGAGGGCUUCACUGAGUUACACUUCAUCUUGCUCAAGUUUAAGUGGCUGGAUGGGGCCCCCGACAAAUCUGGGGACAAGAUCCCACUCCUCUGCAUCCUGUUUGAGAAGGAGGACUUCAUGGGACUGGACACAGACUGAAGGGCCCUGUGAUCUACAUGUCCGCACUCCCCUUCUGCUCCUUGGAGAUGAGGUGGCAGGUUUAGGAGCCUGGGCACUGCUGAAGGCACAGCUGCCAGCACCGGGCUUCUCCCAGACUGGCUCCGUUCACUUCACCUGUCACCUCCUGCUGAGCCCCGAGGCGUUAGUCCAGUAACAAAGAAACAAGACAGAAAAAGCAGAGGAUGGUUUCUGUUCUUCCUCUCGGCUUGCAGGUGCCCUCACCUCCAGUGGCAUCCAUCCAGACACCAGCAUUGAAACUGGCCAUGCUCAGAACUGCCUCAGCCCUGAAGACACAACUGACAAAUAGAAGGGGGCCAUGCCCUGUUACAGCAGGUGCUCUCGCUUUGUGGGUCCUUAUGUAACUGCACGUUGUUAUUCAGGAUCGCCCGUUCUACAUUGUGUGACACUGCUGUGGUGUCUCCUAGUUAUUUGUUUCUGAUCUGAGAAGCAGGAGCAAGGAACUCAGGGAGAGAUCCAGGAAGACAUCUGACUCUGUUAAGAGACGACAGUCACAGUGACACGGGGAGCGAAGACACUUGCAGCAAAGCAAAAUGACUUCACAACGAUUGCAUCAGAGCUGCAGGUGUGAGAGAGUCUAAGCCUGUCUCAGAGUGCAGGGGACAAGUGGAAAGGAAUGUGUAAGAAUGCCGGUGACUCAGUUAGAAGCAUGCUUCGAAGCUGUCCGUGUACUUGCCAUCCAGAAGCAGAGCCUGGGAGCUUCCGAAUUUCUCCAGAAUGCGGUUUACAUUCA